AUUAAGAUUUUGGAGCAGAAACAGUCUAAACAUACCAUUAAUAUAUGCUGCAUGCUGUUAUAAUAUUUACUCUAGAUAUAAAAAGCGAACAAUUAAAAUUUAGAUAAAAUCUUAAUAACCUAGUUAUAGGUUUAUCAAUUUCCGUUCCAUCUCCAGUAUGUUUAAAAAUAUGUGAUGACAUUUAUACAAGUGACUCGGCCCCCAUUGAAUUUCUAUUGAGAUUUGGCUUGAAUUUAUUAAAUUGUAGUUGUGACAUGUAAAAUGAGCUUUUAAAGCUUGAAUAAAUGAAGUAUCCAGCUAUGAUUUUAUCUACUGUUUGUAGUCAUGUAUUUACACCACCUACAGUGUUGUCUUCUCUUACUAAAGUUUAAAAUAAUUUAUGAAUUGAAUUAUGUUAUGAUCACCAGACAAUAUGCACUUACCUACGGUACAUGUAGGUCUAUACAUGUAUUACAUAUUUUUGUUCAGCAUGUAUAUUGCGUGUAUUACUAGUAACUUCUACAUUUCAAAAGUGCAUUGCAGGAAAGCAUGUAUAUUUCGUGCAUUGUAACUGUCGUCUGAUUCAGUGUUCAAGAAAAUGAUAUAAUGGCGUCUUCAAAUUCACAGAGUAAAAUCAGUAAAAGAAAACCUAAUUGGACGGAUGAUGAAUUACAAGUGCUACAUGUAGCAUCAUCAAUUCGUGAAUAUAGCGAUAUUCUGUUUCCAAAACUUUCUAGUGAUAUCACUUAGGAGAAAAAGAAGGGAAUAUGAAACGAAAUCACAAAAUAAACUGCCAUGGAAUGACGCACGCACGGAAGGAAUUUACAUUUAUGAUUUUUAUAAAUACUUCAGAUCUAC